GUGUGGGCCCUGGGCCAGGAGCAUCAGUAUCCACCCUGGGUCCUUGUCAGAAGGGCAAAUCCUUGCACCUCACCCCAGCCCUACUGAAUUAGAAACUGGGGCCCAGAAAUGCAUGUGUUAAACGAUGCUCCCAGUGAUUCAGAUGCCCACUCACAUUGGAGAAGCUCUGGGUGGGGCAAGCUCCUCAGUUUACAAAGAAGCGGAAAGAGACCCAGAGAAGAGAAUGGACUUAUCUGAGCCCACGGAGCAAAAUACUGAUGGCGAGAGCAAGGUUCCCCCACCCCGGGCCCACCCAGAUAAUAGCCUAGGGAGGCCAAGGAAUACAAUGGCCCAUCCCACCUACUAGCUCUUCCUCCCCAUGCUGCUUUGCAGCCGCUGCCCCCCUACACCCAGGAGCGUGCCAAGCAAUGUCUGCCCAGCCUUCCCGAAGGCUCCAGAAAGGGGGCUGGAGAGGGAAGCCCCAAAGCUGUCAGUGAGUGGCAGCUCCAGCAGCUAUGGGAGCCCCACAGCUCUGGUCUCCAGGAGAUGUCCUGCUGCCAUCUGAGCAAGGCUGGCUGGACAUGGGGCACCCAGGGCCCUUCCCUGCCCCAGACAAUUCGGAAUCCAAUGCCUUGGGAAAGCUUUAUUCCCGAUUCCAGAACAAGACUCUGCACACAGAAGUCGACAAUCAGUUGAAGAUUUUGGAGGCCUUGGCUUCGAUGAAGAUCUGCUGCUCCUGGUGGAACUCUACAGCUUUACUGGGGGGCACGAGGCUGAUGGAGAUAUUGCCCUGGCCUGUGGCGUUGUGUCGGAAGUGGACGCUGAAGGUCCCGUUGCCGUGGUCCACAAUCUUCCCCGUGACGAGCAGGUUCAGAGCCACCGUCUUGAUGUUGGAGUAGAAGUCACCCCAGCCAAAGAUUUUCUUCACCUUGGCCGAAGUUUAGGUUUUGGCAGAAGGAAUAAGAGGAGCUCAGGAGUGAAUUCCACACUCAGGAUGGCCAAGAUAUGGAAGGUCAAAAACUCUGAGGAUCACCGAUGAUGACACACCCCGACACCGUUGCUCCAAGAGGCAGGAGUUCUUAUUAUGCCCGUUCUACAGAUGAGGCCACCAGGACUCAAAGGUUACAUCCCUAGAAGGCUAAGUCACAGAGGGUCAGCCCUCCGAUUCACCCCUCACUUCUGGCCUCAUGGACCACAUAGGUCCGUUUAUGGAGGUUCUGUCCAAGCUCCGUCCCCACCUGGAAUCUUCUGCCAAACUGCCAAGGCUUGGCCAGCAUCUGCUGGAUCAGCCAUGGCAACAGGCAACACCUGGGAAGGCCUCCUGGAGGAGCUGUGGGGAGGGCCAGCAGGACAGCGUGACCCACCUCAGACACGGGACAGCUCAGGAGGGCAUCAGGGAGUAGACAAGGUUUCCUGAGGGCAGCCGCCUGGUGUGUGCUUACUCAGCUUCUAAAGAGAGUACUCCCCCCUAGGUGUCUGCAUUAGAGCCCCAGGGGCACCAGCU